rnacentral:rRNA from 1 species
GACGAACGCUGGCGGCGUGCUUAACACAUGCAAGUCGAACGGAAAGGCCCUGCUUUUGUGGGGUGCUCGAGUGGCGAACGGGUGAGUAACACGUGAGUAACCUGCCCUUGACUUUGGGAUAACUUCAGGAAACUGGGGCUAAUACCGGAUAGGAGCUCCUGCUGCAUGGUGGGGGUUGGAAAGUUUCGGCGGUUGGGGAUGGACUCGCGGCUUAUCAGCUUGUUGGUGGGGUAGUGGCUUACCAAGGCUUUGACGGGUAGCCGGCCUGAGAGGGUGACCGGCCACAUUGGGACUGAGAUACGGGCCAGACUCCUACGGGAGGCAGCAGUGGAGAAUAUUGCACAAUGGGCGGAAGCCUGAUGCAGCAACGCCGCGUGCGGGAUGACGGCCUUCGGGUUGUAAACCGCUUUCGCCUGUGACGAAGCGUGAGUGACGGUAAUGGGUAAAGAAGCACCGGCUAACUACGUG